AGGGUUUGAUUCUGGCUCAGGACGAACGCUGGCGGCGUGCCUAACACAUGCAAGUCGAACGAAGCUCGAAGCUUUGAGAUUUCGGUCAAGAAGCCUAGAUGACUUAGUGGCGAACGGGUGAGUAAUGCGUGAGCAACCUGCCUUUCAGAGGGGGACAACAGUUGGAAACGACUGCUAAUACCGCAUAAAACAUUUAGAUGGCAUCAUCUGAAUGUCAAAGGAGCAAUCCGCUGAGAGAUGGGCUCACGUCUGAUUAGCUAGUUGGUGAGGUAACGGCUCACCAAGGCGACGAUCAGUAGCCGGUCUGAGAGGAUGAACGGCCACAUUGGGACUGAGAUACGGCCCAG
rnacentral:rRNA from 1 species